rnacentral:rRNA from 1 species
UGAGUACGACCCGUUACGACGGGGAAGUGUCUGACGUCAGGCUUCCAAGAAAAGCCCGAACCACGUUAAUUCAAAUGAGCCCGUACCCUAAACCGACACAGGUGGGAAGGUAGAGUAUACUAAGGGGCGCGAGAUAACUCUCUCUAAGGAACUCGGCAAAAUGGCCCCGUAACUUCGGGAGAAGGGGUGCCACUGAAGGGUGGCCGCAGUGAAGAGUCCCAGGCGACUGUUUACCAAAAACACAGGUCUCCGCUAAGUCGCAAGACGAUGUAUGGGGGCUGACGCCUGCCCAGUGCCGGAAGGUUAAGGAAGUUGGUCAGACUCUUCGGAGUUGAAGCUAGCGACUGAAGCCCCGGUGAACGGCGGCCGUAACUAUAACGGUCCUAAGGUAGCGAAAUUCCUUGUCGGGUAAGUUCCGACCCGCACGAAAGGCGUAACGAUCUGGGAGCUGUCUCGGAGAGAGGCUCGGCGAAAUAGGAAUGUCUGUGAAGAUACGGACUACCUGCACCCGGACAGAAAGACCCUAUGAAGCUUUACUGUAGCUUGGUAUUGGGUUCGGGCUUGUCAUGCGCAGGAUAGGUGGGAGACUAUGAAGCAGUCCUUGUGGGGGUUGUGGAGUCACUGGUGAGAUACCACUCUUGACAGGCUAGAAUUCUAACCUUGACCCGUUAUCCGGGCAGGGGACAGUAUCAGGUGGGCAGUUUGACUGGGGCGGUCGCCUCCUAAAUGGUAACGGAGGCGCGCAAAGGUUCUCUCAGGCUGGUUGGAAAUCAGCCAUCGAGUGUAAAGGCAUAAGAGAGCUUGACUGCAAGACUGACAAGUCGAGCAGGUACGAAAGUAGGCCUUAGUGAUCCGACGGUUCCGCGUGGAAGGGCCGUCGCUCAACGGAUAAAAGUUACUCUAAGGAUAACAGGCUGAUCUCCCCCAAGAGUUCACAUCGACGGGGAGGUUUGGCACCUCGAUGUCGGCUCAUCGCAACCUGGGGCUGUAGUCGGUCCCAAGGGUUGGGCUGUUCGCCCAUUAAAGCGGUACGUGAGCUGGGUUCAGAACGUCGUGAGACAGUUCGGUCCAUAUCCGGUGCAGGCGUAGGAACAUUGAGAGGAGUCUUCCUUAGUACGAGAGGACCGGGAAGAACGCACCGCUGGUGUACCUGUUAUCGUGCCAACGGUAAACGCAGGGUAGCCAAGUGCGGAGUGGAUAACCGCUGAAAGCAUCUAAGUGGGAAGCCCACCUCAAGAUGAGUGUUCCCAUGGCAUAAGCCAGUAAGGUCACGGGUAGACCACCCGUUGAUAGGUUCUAGAUGGAAGUCCAGUAAUGGAUGCAGUCGAGGAAUACUAACAGACCGAGGGCUUGACAG